GCCAGGCGCCGGCGCAUGCCUGUAGUCCCAUCUACUCGGGAGGCUGAGGUGGGAGGAUCACUUGAGCCCAGGAGUUCUGGGCUAUAGUGCACUAUUGCCAAUUGGGUGUCCACGCUAAGUUCAGCAUCAGUAUGGUGACCUCCCAGGAGUGGGGGACCACCAGGUUGCCUAAGGGGAGGGGUGGACUGGCCCAGGUCAGAAAUGGAGCAGGUCAAAACUCCCAUGCUGAUCAGUAGUGGGAUCGUGCCUGUGAAUAGCCACUGCACUCCAGCCUGGGCAACAUAGCAAGACCCCAUCUCAA
ensembl:misc_RNA Metazoa_SRP Metazoan signal recognition particle RNA